AUACGGAGGGUGCAAGCGUUACUCGGAAUCACUGGGCGUAAAGGACGCGUAGGCGGGUUGGUAAGUCAGAUGUGAAAUCCUACAGCUUAACUGUAGAACUGCAUUUGAAACUACUAACCUAGAGUAUGGGAGGGGGCGAUGGAAUUAGUGGUGUAGGGGUAAAAUCCGUAGAUAUCACUAGGAAUACCGAAAGCGAAGGCGAUCUCCUGGAACAUAUCUGGCGCUAAGGCGUGAAAGCGUGGGGAGCAAACAGGAUUAGAAACCCUAGUAGUCC
rnacentral:rRNA from 1 species